rnacentral:rRNA from 1 species
CAGCAGCCGCGGGAAUACGGAGGGAGCUAGCGUUGUUCGGAAUCACUGGGCGUAAAGCGCACGUAGGCGGCUAUUCAAGUCAGGGGUGAAAGCCCGGGGCUCAACCCCGGAACUGCCUUUGAAACUAGAUAGCUUGAAUCUUGGAGAGGCGAGUGGAAUUCCGAGUGUAGAGGUGAAAUUCGUAGAUAUUCGGAAGAACACCAGUGGCGAAGGCGACUCGCUGGACAAGUAUUGACGCUGAGGUGCGAAAGCGUGGGGAGCAAACAGGAUUAGAUACCCCGGUAGUCCCUGUCUCUUAUAA